rnacentral:other from 1 species
AAAGCACUGGAAUGUGCGAGCUUACUCUUUUAAUUGACCGACUAUUUUUUGUAUUGCAUAGGGGUUCAUGAGACAUUCUGAGGCAUGCAUACCUUUUUAAGGGAGUAGCCUAUACAGAAGCGAGAACACCCACCUGGCUUUUGAGCGGGUUCAAUACGUGAGUGAGUAAACGGCAUUCAAUCAGUGUUUUU